GACGAACGCUGGCGGCGCGCUUAACACAUGCAAGUCGAGCGAGAACCAGGGCUUCGGCCCUGGGGACAGCGGCGAACGGGUGAGUAACACGUGGAUAACCUGCCCUCGGCACCGGGAUAGCCCGGGGAAACCCGGAUUAAUACCGGAUGGCCCUUCCGGCUUUCGAGCUGGUCGGAAAAGGUAGCUUCGGCCUCCGGCCGAGGAUGGGUCCGGGGCGGAUUAGCUUGUUGGUGGGGUAACGGCCUACCAAGGCGACGAUCCGUAGCUGGUCUGAGAGGACGAUCAGCCACACUGGGACUGAGACACGGCCCAGACUCCUACGGGAGGCAGCAGUGGGGAAUCUUGCGCAAUGGGCGAAAGCCUGACGCAGCGACGCCGCGUGAGGGAGGAAGGCCUUCGGGUUGUAAACCUCUUUCAGGAGGGACGAAGCUACUCGGGUGAAUAGCCCAGAGGGUGACGGUACCUCCAGAAGAAGCCCCGGCUAACUACGUGCCAGCCGCCGCCGUAACAC
rnacentral:rRNA from 1 species